AUGCACCACCAAACCACUCUCAGUACAUGCUCUAUAUGUGGAAUGGAGGAGGAGAAUAUGUAUCAUGCCCUUGUCACAUGCCCGAAGGCCUUUGCGCUUCGUACGGCCAUGAGGGACAUUUGCAAUUUACCUGCGGAGGAAAUGUCCAGGUAUACUGCCGCAGAAUGGUUUCUUGUUCUCCUAAGUCAUCUGGGACCUUCUAUGCGGGAUAAAAUUAUAUUUAUUUUCUGGAGAGCGUGGCAUUUAAGAAAUGACUUAAUUUUUGGUACGGGCAAGGAAUCAGUCACAGCCUCGGUUAAUUUUGUGGAUAAUUAUUGGGCAACCUACAACAAUUGUCAUUCCAUGUUGAUGGAGGACCCGGAGAAUAAAGGUAAAAAUCUGAUGAGUGGACUGAGAAGUGUUCCUACUAGCUCAGAUGCUCAUAUGAUUUGGAUUCCCCCACCUUCAGGCUAUAUUAAGAUUAAUGUCGAUGUCAGCUUCGUGGAGAGCAUUAAGGCGGCAAGUGUGGGUGUGGUGGCAAGGGAUUCUGAUGGGAAAGUCAGGGUCUCCUCGUGGAACUACAUUGCAAGUUGUAAAAGCGUGGAGGAGGCGGAACUCCGAGCCGGCAUUGCCGGCCUCUAUAUAGGUAUAAUACUUCACUCUCCUAUUAUUAUUGAGACUGGCUAUGCUAGUGUUGCUGCAAUUAUUGCAGAGGAAGGGGUUGAUAAUCACCUCUGCAUGACCUGA
rnacentral:rRNA from 1 species